CACCAUUAAAAGCAUCACACUGCAGGAUGCAGGAGAAUACUACUGUGAGGCACGGAAUGUGAUUGGGACAGAAAGAUCUCCUCCUAAACAUCUUGAUGUGCAGUUGCCAUCCUGGAGCAGAGUACAGUACUACUGCUUGGCUCAGAACACUCAUGGAGCUCUACUUCUGUGUCAGACAAUAUAAAAGCAGGAGAUAACACAGUGCUCCUAUGGAUGGUUGUUGGAAUCUCUGUGGCUAUUGCACUCUUUGCUAUCAUGGUGUGCACAAGCAGGAAGAAGAGCACCAACAGAGAGAGAGAGGGAGGAGCAGACGCUCUCGUAUUGUAAGUAACAAGUUCCCACCUGGAUAUUUUCACCAUUAACCGUACCAGCCGUUCAGAAAAGCAAAGGACAGUUCUGUGUACAGGCUGUAUUUUUAUGAAACUACAAAGUCAGCAGGUCUGUGCUGAGCAGAAGACACAAAGCACAGAUACACACCAGGCAAGUUACAGUUCAUCCAGUUCAUCACUGUGUGAUGCAGUCAAUUUCAGUCUUCCUCCUUAUUUUUAUUGGUUAAAACUAUUGAGGAAUAUUCCCCACUUAACUCUCAAUAUGUUGUACUUAUAUCUGGAAAUUAUUUAGUAUAAUUUUUUGACAUGUGAAAAAUAUACUUCUGUAAUGUAAAAUCUUCAAGUGAUUCUGUGAUAUAUAAUUCACUAAGUCAACAGAGGAAUCCGUUUUUUGGGAUCACAGAGUGGACAGGAAAUGCAAGGGACUGUGUGGCCACUCUGGUUCCCUUUUAACAAUGCAACUGGAGGCGCACUUAUGUGUGACUGAGUCUCUUCCUGUGUCUCACCUCAGAGCAGAGCCUUCAGAGAGUGACAAACGCAGCCAGCGACACAAACUCUGUGCUUCAGAGAGCUGGCGAGGCCUCAGUGUGGGAUUAAAACACACAGAGGAGAGAAUCUGCAG